rnacentral:rRNA from 1 species
GACGAACGCUGGCGGCGUGCUUAACACAUGCAAGUCGAACGGGCCUUGUCCCCUUUUUUUUGGGGGUGGGGUUAGUGGCGAACGGGUGAGUAACACGUGAGUAACCUGCCCCUCACUUCUGGAUAACCGCUUGAAAGGGUGGCUAAUACGGGGUGUUCUGGCCUGCUCGCAUGGGUGGGUUUGGAAAGAUUCGACCGGUUUUGGUUGUUUUGGUGGGGGAUGGGCUCGCGGCCCAUCAGCUUGUUGGUGGGGUGAUGGCCUGCCAAGGCUUUGACGGGUAGCCGGCCUGAGAGGGUGGGCGGUCACACUGGGACUGAGACACGGCCCAGACUCCUACGGGAGGCAGCAGUGGGGAAUAUUGCACAAUGGGCGCAAGCCUGAUGCAGCGACGCCGCGUGAGGGAUGGAGGCCUUCGGGUUGUGAACCUCUUUCGCCAGUGAAGAAGGUCCUGCUCUUUGUGGUGGGGUUGACGGUAGCGGGGUUAAUGAAGCGCCGGCUAACUACGUG